rnacentral:lncRNA from 1 species
AUUUGUACGCCGAUACAGUCUAUAGAGUCGAGGUUGCGUAGAUUUAUAAUAUUGUUCCGAUCAAUUAUUUUAUAUAUUAAUUAGACAUUAUUUACGGCGUCAUUGUUAUUAAAAAAAAGAAAGAGGCAAACAACAACAUUAGCAAUGCAGUUUGCAUGACCUACUGUCAAACCUCCUAAUCAAAGCCAUACUCCGUACAAUAAACUUUUCGAAGCCUAUAGGAAGGCUUCCGCUUUUACAUCUAACAGCAAAUUUAUAAUCAUGGUGUUGUGAGAUCAUACAUUAAGUCGAAAUCGAAGCAUCGGAGUCAAUCUCUUGGAGCUCCUUCCUAGCCGCCGUCAAAAGUCUUUUGUUUAUAUUCAUUCUCUUCGCCAUUGCAGCAACUAUCAUCAUAUGGACUUUAACAAUGCAUUUAUUGGUUUUUCCGGAUAAAUAUUAACGAAAAUGGAGCAAAAAGCGGCUUGUUUAGUCCGCGCCGGAUUUAGCCAUUCUGAUAUUGCAAAGACCUUUCCUAUCUGCAAAACAACGAUCUGGAGGUUCAAGAUUAUGGUUAACAAGUGUAAAGAUAUCAGUGAUCGUCAUAGAAGCAGAAGGCCGAUCAAAUUAAAGCCUGAAACGGCAAAAAAAGCCGUUUUGGAAAAUCAGAAGAUGAAGAACUUGGCGAAGAAGCGUUCGGUGAGCUGUUUUUACGGUGCCCAAUUCAGUAAAAAAAGUUAGUGGCAAGUCUGUAAUACAUAUUGAACGACCCUUCCUUACUCAACAGCAACAAUUAAGAUUGGAUCAGUGCAAAAAGUUUUACAAUGACCUGCGGUAUAAUGGAAACCAAAUUUUGUUCUCCUCGGACGAGAAGACAUUUACAGUGAAUCCCGUCAACAAUAGGCAAAAUGAUCGGAUCAUGAUUAAUGGCAUCAUAUUCCCAUACCAAUGUACUUCAACAAAUUGAGAAGCAUUCCAUUUUCCAAUUGAUAUCAAUUUAAUGUGGUUUAGCCAAUGAAUUCUCUGCAAAAUUGGAGGAACAUUCAAUCUUGUUUGGUUCUCUCAGUUUUCCCUACGACUUCUCUUGCACACAAUGGUGAUUUUCAAGUCAAAACACGUCCAUGAUGGCCCUUUUUAUUGAAGAUUAUAGGAUAUUUUCUUGUUUAGAUGAAUAAAAAUCAGUCUUCUCAACAACAUCAGAGAUGAUAUCGACCAUGUAGAACACAAUUUCAGUCAAAUAAUCAUAUUUAUUUGACAUAUCAUUUCACGGACCCCAUUAAUUUCUUGUUCCAUGCUAACAAGUUUACACACAUGACCAGUAAAGACCUCCACUACUUAGAAAGGACGAUAUAAUAAUCUUUUAAUCUUCCUGGCACGUUUUACAAUAAGUUUGUCUCCUUUAAACAAUUCAUCCAUACCCAAAAUAGCAAAAAUAUCAUGAAGGAUUUGUAAUCUUGAAAGAUCUUUUGAAUAUUUCGAGUGAAAAUUCGUAUAUUGUGACACUCGUAUUGGGAGGUAUAACUAUUUUUAUUUUUUUUACGUUAAUAAUCGGGAGUUACAACAAGAUAAAUGAUAUUCAACACUGAACUACUCUGAUGGUCUAAUAAAAAGUUGGCCAGUCAACUUCUCUGUUUCUACCACUUGCCAUAGCUGACUGAAGAUUUGAAUACACUACAGCUUUAAUUUGCCUCACUGCCCAUCGAAAUCGUUUUGUCGUCUUUAUAUAUUUAUUUCUUAAUAAGGUAGGCUUAUUAUUUUAAUUUGUAAGAAUAGUGCUCAAGUUAACUACACCAGAGUAACUUUUCGAAUUUAGACUUAAAAAAUCCUUAGAUGAAAUCAAUUGUCUCACUUAACCCUUUCAUCCACAUUUUCUACCGUCCAAGAUAAUAUUAACAUCUUUCUACUUUAUAAACAGAAUCAAAUAAUACACAUUACUGAAAUUUUCUAGUUUGGGAAAGAAUGAAUUAUCAUAAAUGAGGACAAUUCACCAUUCUUAGCUCAAAUGUUUAUUUUAGUGAACGAUUUAAUAAAAAAAACUACUUUGAUUUAUGUUUUAUAAGAUAGAUUUGUUUCAUUUGAAGAAAUAUAUAAGUAUGUUCUCGCAUAUUUAACAUCAUACACAAAUUAAAAGCUAAAUUUAAAAAAUCAAUCGAUAUCUAACUUUUUUUAGACGACAAAUCCUUUGUAGUUCCACUAAUAUAAAGUAAUUGAAAAAAAUAUUGUUUUCCAAAAAAGAUUCUUCAAUUUUACUUAUCUAUGACAAUCUUCCUUUUUCUUAAAUUUAAAAGUCCCUUUUGAAUACAGUACCCAUGAACUUUUUCUGGACGUUUUCAAAAAAAUACGAUGAAUCCGAAAGAAAUCUUAACUUUCUCGAGAAAAAAAAAGUUAACCAUCACAGAACAUAAAAUCUAAUCUUUUUUUAUCUAAGAUCAAAUCUAAAUCUUAAUUUUGAGCUCUAUGUGCAGUUUUAUACAAUUAAACGAAAGUAAAAUUUUGUUCUCAUUAAAGAUGCAUCUAAGAUUCGAAUUUAAAGAAUUAUAUGUGUGUGAUACCUGAGCAAGUGACUAGUGCCUUUUUUUUAGCCACACAGAUUAUCAUGAUGGAAAUGCCGUUUUUAAAAAUGAAUUAGAAAAAUAUUUAUCGGUGAAGGUAAUUCAUUAUCCUAUGGAUAUAACGGUCUUUUUAUCAUUUCUAUUAAUGUUUUGCAGAAAUCUCUUAACUCAUAUUAUGUAGCAACAUUUAGGGAGUGUUCAUCUCUCAAUGUUUUAAGAGAAAAGGUACACAUAUGAACUAUAAUGAGAUCUUAGAAGGGUUCUGGAAAAGUUGACAACCUACUAGGGGAGGAUGCAAAGACUAUCAAGGACGGUUGUUGAUAUCUUCUACUCUUUUGAGAAGUUUCUUAGAGACUGAGAGGUUAUCUUAGAGAUAAGAACAUCCGGACGAGGGGAGUGGACUUUACAGAUGAAAUACAAAAUUCAAUUGAGCUCAUAAACAAAAUGGCCAUUGAAAAAUACAAAUUAACUUUUGUAACCAGUUCCAAAGCCUGCAUUGUCAAUACGCCUUCGAUUAUAUUUACAGAGUAUGGCAGACCUUAGAAAAUUCUGUCAAACUUCGACAUGGGACCCUUUUCAUAAAUAUCUGGAUAGAAUGAAUUAUCAUGUACAGAAGAGCUUGAGUUUUCUGGAAAAUGCCCUACUAUCCUUAUUAGAACAAUGGCUAAACAAUACUUUAGAAGUAAAUGCGAUUUUUUUUUUUACAUAGAAAAACGUAAAUGUUACUUUUGUCCGAUCAAGGAUUAAAUAAUGGAUUAUAUAUUCUUUGAAUGCUAGACGCUUUGUCCAAUAUAUACGUUCGCCAUCGGUGAACUCUUAAACAAGCAUUUAAUUUUUUAUAGCUAGAAGAAAGAUUAUUUUUCUAGGUUGAGAUUAUUAACGAAACUAAGGCUCAUCAUAUUUUAUAUGCAAAACGUAUUUUCUAAGAAUAUGAUAUUUACGAUGUAUUAUCCGUUGUAAAACUUCACCUGCAUGUUCUAAAAAAAUAUUCAUUUUAUAAACAAACUCUGAAAUACAGUUUUUUCGACAAGUUUUUAUAUUGUUUUUGCGAAAUAUGUGAAUUUGUGUUUAUUAUUAA